rnacentral:rRNA from 1 species
AGCACUCUGACCAGCGACGCCGCGUGCGGGAUGAAGGCCUUCGGGUUGUAAACCGCUUUCAGCAGGGAAGAAGCGAAAGUGACGGUACCUGCAGAAGAAGCACCGGCUAACUAUGUGCCAGCAGCCGCGGUAAUACAUAGGGUGCAAGCGUUGUCCGGAAUUAUUGGGCGUAAAGAGCUCGUAGGUGGUUCGUCACGUCGGAUGUGAAAAUCUGGGGCUUAACCCCAGACCUGCAUUCGAUACGGGCGAGCUAGAGUGUGGUAGGGGAGACUGGAAUUCCUGGUGUAGCGGUGGAAUGCGCAGAUAUCAGGAGGAACACCAAUGGCGAAGGCAGGUCUCUGGGCCAUUACUGACACUGAGGAGCGAAAGCGUGGGGAGCGAACAGGAUUAGAUACCCUGGUAGUCCACGCCGUAAACGGUGGGCACUAGUUGUGGGAACCUUCCACGGUUUCUGCGACGCAACUAACGCAUUAAGUGCCCCGCCUGGGGAGUACGAUCGCAAGAUUAAAACUCAAAUGAAUUUGGCGGA